CUUCAGUAUCUUCUUAUUUUUACACGUUUUUUGUGUAUUUACCUGCACACGUGGAUACACUCGAAGAUGCGGGAAUCUCUAUGAUACAGCAAGAAUGUAAUAUAGGUUAAGCAUCAAAGUUGAUAUGCUUCAACGUCAAGACGAGUAAAUUGGCACAAACAUGAAAGGAUAAUUCAAAGUCGCAAUCAAUAUUGCAUAUGAUACACUAUUGGAUAAUUUGGGAUUAUUUUUGUCAUAUAUAUGCCUACAUAUUAUGUGUAUAUUGAAUCAGCUAAUAAUUUUGUUAUUAGUUUGAAAUUAAUGCCACGUUAUAAAUCAAUAUACACUUCUGGUUUUAUAGAAAACUUUAUUUAUAUUAUUAUAUUAAACUUUUAUCCAACUGCUGGUUUCCACUAUAAUUAGUGUCAGUGCAUCAAUCGGUAAUGUUAAUUGAUAUUAAAGAUCUUACUAUAUUAUGAAAGUUACUAUAAUAUUACAGGCGAAUAAAAAGAAAAAAAUGAAACUGAUUGAUAAGUAAGUCUAUUAAGAUGGUAUAGUUGAAUUAAUUAAUAUUUAUUGUCUGGAAGUACCGAAUGAGGAAACAUAAGUAAACGCAACAUGUUGGUAAUGAGUAAAAAGACAAAUGACACAUCGUUUGAUGAUGUAUAUGAGCAGU